CAAAAGAAACUUAAUCUGCAAAAAGUAAUGACGAGGGGUGAGCCGUCAACUCGGUAAGUAAAACCAUUUCUAACAUACUAGGCUUAUCGAUACGAAGAUAUUGCAAGCCUUCUUUUGUUUAAAACAUAUAUCAUAAUCCAUAAAUUUUCAUAAAACGAUAUAUCACAUUAACAUAAGAUAAAUUCUUAAUAAUUCAGAAUAUUCAAAAGAAUAUUUACUUACGAAGCAAAUCAUGUAAUACGUAUACAGAAACAAAAAGGUUAGCUCAUGUCACAUAGUGUCACCUAUAGUCCCGGUGACCCGGCCAGAAACAGAAUCAGAAUAUCGUGUGCACACUCAGAACAUAAACCCAGUACUGGUCCAGACAGAUAUAUCGUAUAUUACGAUCAGAAUCAGAAUCGGAAUCAGAAUAACUAUGGACAAUGAGCCAAAACAUUAAGAAUCUCAUACAAUCAUCAAUAAUUGAAAUCAAACAUAGGUACAAAACAUUCGUAUCAGUUUCAUAAAAGUUCAUAUCAAUAAUUUAGGCUUGCAUAACACUUUAUAAAUAAAAUCAUAAAAGUAGGCAUGUAACAAAGUAACUCACAUAUUCAAAAGCAUUUAUAAAAUACUUUGUUAAAAAGAAUUUAGCUUUGAAACAUUUACAUAAAACUAAUUUUAUUAUCAAAAUCAAUUAAUCCUUUAAGUAGUAUAAAAUACUUAUAAUAAUAAUAAUAUCAAAAUACUUAUACAUAUCUAGUAUACUAGGAAUGAAGUUACUUACCUCGACAAAUGAACUUGAAUUAACCCACCUCUAAGCUUCUAAGAGCCUCAAUCACCUUCAACUCCUUAAACAAAUACAAGAUAUGACAAUUAAUAACUUAUUCUAAGAAUCUGAUUUUCUAAUUCAUACCUGUACAGGUCUGAUUCUCAGAAUUUUAACUCUUAAUCUAAAACUCAGAAUGAUAUAAUAUUCUAUGGAACUAUUCUGGACAUCCAUGAGUACCCCAUGUAAAAUUUACAAGAGGAUCCGAUAUCAAAAACAUUUUAAAAACUAUUUACUUCUCAGCAAAUUUGAAACUGUUUUCACAUAAUCUAAACCAAACAGAACGGGUUCUGUGAUUUUUAGAAAAUAACAUACCAAUCAGAAAAUUAUAAAAUUAAAACUGGGAAUCCUAGACACAUAUAUUAACCUACAUAUAAACUUUCAGAAUUUUCCGAGUUCAUUUGAUGGUACAAAUAGUCUUGUGAAUCCGAUCACAAUGCUGGAAUCGUAGUUUUCCAGUGCAGUAGUUUCUAUUUCGAAAAUACAUAUAAAAUUCAAAACGAAAUCUAAUUCAAUGAAAUAAAAUUUAAUCAAGAAUCCCUACAUGUCUAGUUCCCAGAAAUAUAAAUUUUAUAAGAAAAUUCGUUCAGAAAAUAUAGCUUUAAAUUCGAGAUACUCAUGCUGUCCAGAAUUAUCCUGUGCUUAAUACGUCAAUGAUUGAUUAACUAAACUCAUAAUAAAUCAAAACCCUAAACAAGGCCUAAAUAUAUUAUAAACCAUGCAUUAUGAUCUACAUCCAUUAGAAUCGUGCCAAUAUAAACCCUAGCUAGAUAGAGAUUAGAAAUCUGUUGAGAACAUGGAGAAUAACUUACCCGUCGCUUGAUUCUCUCCUAAACAAAGGUUUGAAUCCUAGGAUUUGGGUAAGAGCGUAAAGAGCAGCAGGGAAGAAGAAUAAACGUUGUGAAUUUAGGGUUAUGGGAGAGAAAAAGUAUGAAUUUAUAGGAAGUCUUAAGAAACCCUAUUUAAUUAGGAAAAAUAACCAUUUUCCCAAAAUUAUCUCAUAAAUAACCUCUUAAUAAGGGUUAUGGGCCACCCAUAAUUCUCAAUGAAAGCCCAAUUUCCAUAACUUAAUAUAUAUGAGAAUUUGUGGCGUUACAAUUUCUCCCCUCCUAACAAAAAUUUCGUCCUCGAAAUUAAAAGGUUACCUUAUGCAUGGAAGAGUUGAGGAUACUUCUCCAACAUUUCUGCUUCUCGCUCCCAUGUGGCUUCCUCAAUAGAAUGAUUCAUCCAUCGUACCUUCACUAGGGGAAUAACUCUAUUCCUUAAUACUUGUUCGUUUCGAUCAACAAUCUCAAUAGGUUGUUCCUCAUACGACAUGUCUUCAGUUAUCUGAAUCGGUUGAUAGUCUAGCACAUGUGAAGGGUCUGCAAUGUACUUUCUUAACACAGACACAUGAAAUACAUUGUGAAGCCUAGACAGACUUGGUGGUAAAGCUAUGCGAUAGGCCACCGGACCAAUUCUCUCUAAAAUCUCAAAUGGUCCAAUAAAUCUAGGGCUAAGCUUCCCUUUCUUCCCGAACCGAAACACCCCUUUCCAUGGCGAUACUUUCAAGAAAACAAAAUCUCCUUUUUCAAAUUCCAACUCACGUCUACGACGAUCUGCAUAACUCUUCUGUCUGCUCUGAGCUGUUUAAAGACGUCCUCUAAUCAACUUGAUUUUAUCAACAGUAAUCUGUAUUAAUUCUGGACCCAAAAGUUUUCUUUCACCAAAAACUCUGCUUUAGAUCACGAUACAUCUUAGUAUUACUAGGAUGCAUACUGUAAGAUGAUUCAUGCGCUUCUCUUAAGAUCUCUGCCUUCAACUCUUCGUCUGCUGGCACGCAUAGCCUUUGUCCCAACCAUAAUGCAUCCCCAUUAUCAAGUCUAAAUCCGGGCUUAUGUCCUUUGCUCACAUCUUCACGGAUUUUAUUGAGUUCUAUGUCGUUCUUCUGAGCUACCUUAACUCUAUCAAUUAGAGUGGGUUGGACUGUCAAAUGUGCUAACACGUCUGCUUGCCCAUGAGUAACUACCUCAAUCCCACAUCUCCUCAAGUCUUUUACCAAAUGAGAUUGCAUGGUGAUAAGAUGAGCCAUGCACUCAGAUGAUUUCCUACUCAAGGCAUCUGCUACCACAUUUGCCUUACCUGGAUGGUAAUUAAUAGAACAAUCAAAAUCCUUCACCAACUCCAACCAUCUUCUCUGCCUCAAGUUCAAUUCCUUCUGAGUAAACAAGUACUUCAAACUCUUAUGAUCGGUAAAGAUCUCGCAAGUCUCCCCAUACAAAUAGUGUCUCCAGAUUUUUAGAGCAAACACUAUUGCAGCCAAUUCCAAAUCGUGAGUUGGAUAGUUUUGUUCAUGACUCUUUAACUGCCUAGAAGCAUAUGCUAUAACCUUACCAUAUUGCAUUAAAACGCAACCCAAACCUUUUCUGGAAGCAUCACUGUAAAUCACAAAACCUCCACCUUCAGAAGGAAAAGUUAAAAUGGGAGCAGUCACCAAAUGACUCUUGAGCUCUUGGAAGCUCUUUUCACAUGCCUCAUCCCAAUUGAACUUCACAUUCUUCUUAGUCAAAUUAGUCAAUGGUGCUGCUAUGCUAGAAAAUCCUUUGACAAAGCGCCUAUAAUAACCUGCCAAUCCUAAGAAACUCCUUACUUCAGUCACACUAGAAGGCCUUUCCCAAUUCACAAUUACCUCCACUUUGGCUGGAUCUGCUGAAAUACCAUCCUUCGUCACUAUAUGUCCCAAAAACAUCACACGAUCAAGCCAAAACUCACAUUUCUUAAAUUUCCCAUACAACUUCUUCUCCCGCAAUGUUUCUAAUACAAUCCUCAGGUGCGUCUCAUGCUCCUUCUUACUCUUAGAGUAAAUUAAUAUGUCAUCAAUAAAGACGAUGACAAACUGGUCAAGAUAAGGUUGGAAGAUCCUAUUCAUCAAAUCCAUGAACGCUGCAGGAGCAUUAGUUAAUCCAAAAGGCAUAACUAAGAACUCAUAGUGUCCAUAACGAGUUCGAAAAGCUGUCUUCGAUACAUCCUCACUUCUUAUUUUCAAUUUAUGGUAGCCAGAUCGUAAAUCAAUUUUAGAGAAUACCGCUGCACCUCGUAAUUGGUCAAAGAGGUCAUCAAUUCGAGGAAGAGGGUAUUUAUUCUUGACAGUAACCAUAUUCAACUGCCGGUAGUCAAUACACAACCUCAUUGAACCAUCUUUCUUCUUUACGAACAAAACGGGAGCACCCCAAGGCGACACACUAGGACGGAUGAAACCCUUAUCUAGUAACUCUUGUAGCUGGACCUUUAGUUCUUUUAAUUCAAUGGGUGCCAUCCGAUAUGGCGCCUUGGAUAUAGGUGUAGUACCAGGAACUAACUCUAUAGUAAACUCAACCUCUCUAUCUGGGGGUAGUCCAGGAAGAUCCUCAGGAAAUACAUCAAUAAACUCCCUUACAAUAGGUAUGUCUUCAAGGCACGCCCCAUCAGGAUGGUCAGCAAUUAUAUACGCUAAAAAUCCUUCACACCCCUUCUUUAGCAUUUUCAUUGCCUUAACCAUAGAAAUCAAAGCUUUAUGACUCUUAUGAUUCCCUUGAAAAUGAAAUUCUUCCUCGCCAGGUAGGCGAAAAAUAAUUUCCUUAGCAAAACAAUCUAUUGAAACAUGGUAAGGUCCUAACCAAUCCAUCCCCAAAAUCAAAUCAAAAUCAUGCAUCUCUAAUGGUAGGAGAUCCACAAGGAAUUCUCUAUCACACAAUCUGAUCACACAUGACUUAUAGACAUGAUCUAUUAACUGGCAAUCCCCAAUAGGGGUACUAAUUGUCACGUGAACAUCGAGUGGCGUGAUAGGCACAUCAGCAUAACGGGCAAACACACAAGAUACAAAUGAAUGUGUAGCACCAGGAUCAAAAAGAACUUUGGCUUCUCUAGAGAAUAAGGACAAUGUACCUGAUACUACAUCAUUGGACACCUCAGCAUCUUUCUCCGUCAGCGCAAAAACACGCCCUUGCACCUUCGGUUUCUUCCUCUGCCCUUCGUUAGUCGGAGUAUUUGUAGUCUCGCCACGUCUCUUUGGGCAAUCCAUAAUCCUAUGCCCAGAUUCCCCACAAGCAAAACAAGCUCCAGUUUUCCAAUGGCAUUCACCAGGGUGCCUCCUUUCACAAUGUCGACAAAUGGGGUAAUUCAUCCGAGCAGUGUCACUAGUAACACCCUUGUUAUCCCAUUUGUUACCUCCACCAUUAUACUUCUGGGAGUGAGUGCCUUGCCUAUAGGAACUUCCAUUUCGCGGUCCACCUUGUUGAUUCUUCUUAUUUCUCUGAUCCUUUGUAACUUGAGCUUCAAGAAUAUCCUUCUCCGCAAGAAUUGCUCGGUCCACCAAAUCGGCAUAAUUGUUAAUCUUAAGGAUGGUCAAUCGCCCUUUAAUGUUAGGACGUAACCCUUCCAGGAACUUCCUACACUUACUACCCUCAUUAGCAACCAAGGUAUGAGCAAAACGAGAGAGGGCAGUAAAUUGUUCCUCAUACUCCGCAACAGACUUUGUUCCUUGAGUCAACCUUAGGAAAUCAGCCUCCAUCUGAUGUCGAACUCGUUCAGGAAAAUACUUUUCAUGAAAAGCUUCCAGAAAUAACUCCCAAGUAAUGGGUGCAUCUUGCAAGCCAGCCCUUAUGAGACGAGAUUUGGCAUCCCACCAGUGGUUUGCCUCACCCUGAAGGACAAAUGAGGCUAAUAUUACCCUUUGAUCAUCAUUACAACCCAUAGCCACAAAUAUCUUCUCCAUCUGUUUUAGCCAUGCCUCUGCAACCAUGGGAUCGGCAGUCCCCUGAAAGGUAGGUGGUCCCAAUUUCUUAAAUCGUUCUAAGUUCACCAUAGCCCCAUGAUCUCUUGCGCCACCUUGCCUUUCGAGUGGCACAUUCUCUUGUGCCCCAACUCUGCCACUAGCCAUAUCUUGAAUUAACUUACUUUGUUGUUCCAUCAAUCUAAGCAUUGCGCGCAUCAUAGGAUUUCCUUCGUUAGCCAUCUCGCGCAAGGUUGGGUCAGCGUCGUCAGCGAUACCUAAAACAUCUCUCGAGCUAGAGGCAUGCCUAGCACCUCCCCUACGUGACAUCUUUUGACUAUAACACGGAGAAUAAAUAAAUAAAUAAUUAAAAAGGGUAAAUAAUUCAUAGCUAAAGGUCGUGCAAGCGCGCAGAGUACUGAAUAAGUAGUAUAACUAAGAAAAUUUGCUAUUGUAAACAAGAGCAAUAAAUAUUUCAUUCUACGUUAAUACCAAAGAUCAUAAAUCAAGAGUUAUUACAAAGUCGCAAGCAACGUAGAAAAUCAAAAAGACCAAAAUAGAAUUACUAGUCAUAAAUGAUUACUCCUCCUAAGAUAAAUUGUUCGGUCCUAUCAAUUUCUGUCCAUCUCUUAAUCUUAACACUUUUCAUACCCAUAUUGUCCUUCUUCAUGUCUACAAAACAAAAGUAAUCAAUUCCAUUAGACAACCUAAUUAAUCCUUAAAAGAAAGUCUACAGAAUCCUAACCUAGCAUCUCUGAUACCACAAUUGUAACACCCCAAAUCUAACACGUGUGGAGCACGUGAAGAAGGAGGUUACUCACAAAUCAAUGAUCUAUACUCAUAAGUUUCAAACUGAAAUACCUCCAAUUCUUAUUCAAAUAAAUCCACAAAUCCAAACGUCAAAUACUAAAUAAUCUCUCUCGAGGACAUAUAAAAAUAAUAACAAAAGUCUCAAACUCCAAAUUACACGUUCAUAAAAAAGUAACUAAAUAGAAACACAAGUCUAUUCCUCCUCUUAUUCAAUCGCAAACGGAAACUGGAAAAAUUACUAACUCUAAAGCUAAGCGCACCUCUCAAAAGAAACUUAAUCUGCAAAAAGUAAUGACGAGGGGUGAGCCGUCAACUCGGUAAGUAAAACCAUUUCUAACAUACUAGGCUUAUCGAUACGAAGAUAUUGCAAGCCUUCUUUUGUUUAAAACAUAUAUCAUAAUCCAUAAAUUUUCAUAAAACGAUAUAUCACAUUAACAUAAGAUAAAUUCUUAAUAAUUCAGAAUAUUCAAAAGAAUAUUUACUUACGAAGCAAAUCAUGUAAUACGUAUACAGAAACAAAAAGGUUAGCUCAUGUCACAUAGUGUCACCUAUAGUCCC
rnacentral:lncRNA from 1 species